AAAAAAUCAAUGACUAGACAAGUAAUGGAUGAUUAUUUUUUUACAGAGAGUUUCCUAUAAGCUGAGAAGGAAACAAAAACCCAUUCAUGAACACAACUAGAUAGAUGUAUAUCUGAACUUAAGUAAGAUAUAACGUUUGUCCGCGUUAAGGAUGUGUGUUUAAUGAUUGAAUUAAACAACAUGAGGUUACCAUUGUGAGAUGGUAAUAAAUUGAGGUGGAAUCACGGCUUAUCGUCCUCUUG
rnacentral:ncRNA from 1 species